CCUACGGGAGGCAGCAGUGAGGAAUAUUGGUCAAUGGGCGUAAGCCUGAACCAGCCAAGUCGCGUGAGGGAUGAAGGUUCUAUGGAUCGUAAACCUCUUUUAUACGGGAAUAAAGUGUGGGACGUGUCCUGUUUUGUAUGUACCUUAUGAAUAAGGAUCGGCUAACUCCGUGCCAGCAGCCGCGGUACUACGGAGGAUCCGAGCGUUAUCCGGAUUUAUUGGGUUUAAAGGGUGCGUAGGCGGCCUUUUAAGUCAGCGGUGAAAGUCUGUGGCUCAACCAUAGAAUUGCCGUUGAAACUGGGAGGCUUGAGUAUGUUUGAGGCAGGCGGAAUGCGUGGUGUAGCGGUGAAAUGCUUAGAUAUCACGCAGAACCCCGAUUGCGAAGGCAGCCUGCCAAGCCAUGACUGACGCUGAUGCACGAAAGCGUGGGGAUCAAACAGGAUUAGAUACCCCAGUAGUC
rnacentral:rRNA from 1 species